rnacentral:rRNA from 1 species
GACGAACGCUGGCGGCGUGCCUAAUACAUGCAAGUAGGACGCAGUUGCGAACGGGUGAGUAACGCGUAGGUAACUACCUAUUAGAGGGGGAUAACUCUUGGAAACGAUAGCUAAUACCGCAUACUAGUAGAUGGACCUGCGUUGUAUUGGCUAGUAGGUAUGGUAAUGGCCUACCUAGGCAACGAUACAUAGCCGACCAGAGAGGGUGAGCGGCCACAUUGAGACAGAGACAAUGACCAGACUCCCACGGGCGGCCGCAGGAGGGAAUCUUCGGCAAUGGGGGGAACCCUGACCGAGCAAAGCCGCGUGAGUGAAGAAGGUUUUCGGAUCGUAAAGCUCUGUUGUUAAGGAAGCGGUACUUAACCAGAAAGGGACGGCUAACUACGUGCCAGCAGCCGCGGUAAUUC